UUUCAGGAAAAUCAGGUGUUGGAGGUCCAUUCAGAGAAGGAACAGGAUAAGGGGUUCACUCCAGUGCACCUCGCUGCACAACGUGGCUCCCUUGAAUCCCUAAACUGUCUUUUAGCGCUGCGAGCGGACUACAAACUUGUGGACAAGAGGGGUUGGAUGGCUAUUCAUUUUGCAGCCUUUUACGGCCAAGUGGCAUGUAUUUAAGCAUUAUGUAGGAAAGACCCUGCGUUAUUGGAGAUGAAGACCCCUGCUGAGGACCUCGUCUACCUGAAACUCAUCACGUUCCUGGUGCCCCUGCUGAUAUGAUCCUUGAGGAAAAAGAUGUUGAUUCCUAAUUGGUCUCAGUUGCUCUCACCUUUGUCAGAUGACAAGCUGAAAACAGAACGAGAGGUUUCUCCACAACUUCUCGGACCAGACUUUGCCUGCAAGCACUUUCCACAG